CUGGUCCCUCACCUAGGACCUGUUUGACAUGGGUGACCCUACCAGCGGCGCGAAGCCCCAGACAACUUAGCUCCUAGGAUCAUUGGGACACAGAAACCCUUCCACCACGAUAAGGUGACAGCUCAUGGAGAGGUCCGGCCCGGCCCGAUAGGCUGGAAGACCACAGAGAAAAGCGGGCAGCCCCUCCCCACCCUACAGCUAAUCCCCCCUCAAACCGACCAUCCCCCAGCGACCAAAACAGGGCACAGAAGGCGGGCCUGUCCAAAGCAGAAGGCGCUGACACCCACCAUGAGCCUCAAGUCAGCCGAGGACCCUUUGAAUGCAUCGCUCUGCACAUUGUGGGGAAAAUGGGAGAGAGAGCCUUGAGGUGGAGCAAGAGGACAUGUUCCAGGGCACCGGCUUCUCUUCCUAAGAAGUGCUAAAACUGCUCUGAUGAAGACCCUCAACUCUACACUUCCUCCCUUUCAGUUGGUGACAAGAUUGAGUCUGGAGGACACAU